GCCACAAAUACAGGGAAUCCACUGUUUACACGGACAUAGUCUACCUUAUAUUUGCACGGCGUCGCACAAGUACAAGUACAUAACCAGGAUACAACCACUAUACUGAAUAUACAGACAUCCAACAUCUAUAUAUAUCCAUACACCAUUCAUCACAUGUUCACAUUCAUGAUUUGAACAUAAAAUCACAACUAUUAGUUAAAACGUUUCCAACUCAGAAACGAGUUUUGAAAUACUAAGUUAUGAAAACUACAAAAAACCUUUCGAAAGCUGUUUCCCACACGGAAACUCUUUUUUUUUUAAACGCGCUACCACGGGGGGUAGAAAAUUAUUUUUCAUUUCACAAAAUCCACAAAUCUAUUUAUUACAUUCAUGAAAACCCAUAUUUUCAAAUGUAAUAAAAAUACUGAACCAUAUAAACUAUCUAAGCUAUAUCAACAGAAUAGUAAGGAUAGAAACUAAACCGAAUAACCUGGGUCGGAAGCUAUAUCGACCGCUACGAACGUAUCUCACGUCUCGUCUCAACUCUGACCGCCUGCGAUACCUGAAAAAUUGUUGGGGAGGUAAGAAGGCGCGUUAAUGG
rnacentral:lncRNA from 1 species